rnacentral:rRNA from 1 species
UACGGAGGGUGCAAACGUUGCUCGGAAUCAUUGGGCGUAAAGCGCACGUAGGCGGACCGCUAAGUCGGAUGUGAAAGCCCUCGGCUUAACCGAGGAAGUGCAUUCGAAACUGACGGUCUUGAGUAUGGAAGAGGGUCGCGGAAUUCCCGGUGUAGAGGUGAAAUUCGUAGAUAUCGGGAGGAACACCAGUGGCGAAGGCGGCGACCUGGGCCAAUACUGACGCUGAGGUGCGAAAGCGUGGGGAGCAAACAGGAUUGAGA